UGGCCUAUGAUGAUAUCACUUUUAUAAACCAUCUUUCGGGACUGAAUGGUAUUAACCUUGAUGUUAUUCUGCAAUUCUGAGGCCU